rnacentral:rRNA from 1 species
CAGUAGCCGCGGGAAUACGGAGGGGGCUAGCGUUGCUCGGAAUGACUGGGCGUAAAGGGCGCGUAGGCGGUUUUGACAGUCAGAUGUGAAAUUCCUGGGCUUAACCUGGGGGCUGCAUUUGAGACGUCAAGACUAGAGUGUGAGAGAGGGUUGUGGAAUUCCCAGUGUAGAGGUGAAAUUCGUAGAUAUUGGGAAGAACACCGGUGGCGAAGGCGGCAACCUGGCUCAUUACUGACGCUGAGGCGCGAAAGCGUGGGGAGCAAACAGGAUUAGAUACCCCCGUAGUCCCUGUCUCUUAUAC